rnacentral:rRNA from 1 species
GACGAACGCUGGCGGCGUGCCUAAUACAUGCAAGUAGAACGCUGAAGGAGGAGCUUGCUCUUCUGGAUGAGUUGCGAACGGGUGAGUAACGCGUAGGUAACCUGCCUGGUAGCGGGGGAUAACUAUUGGAAACGAUAGCUAAUACCGCAUAAGAGUAGAUGUUGCAUGACAUUUGCUUAAAAGGUGCAAUUGCAUCACUACCAGAUGGACCUGCGUUGUAUUAGCUAGUUGGUGGGGUAACGGCUCACCAAGGCGACGAUACAUAGCCGACCUGAGAGGGUGAUCGGCCACACUGGGACUGUGACACGGCCCAGACUCCUACGGGAGGCAGCAGUAGGGAAUCUUCGGCAAUGGACGGAAGUCUUACCGAGCAACGCCGCGUGAGUGAAGAAGGUUUUCGGGUCGUAAAGCUCUGUUGUAGGGGAAGAACGAGUGUGAGAGUGGAAAGUUCACACUGUGACGGUAUCUGAUCAGAAAGGGACGGCUAACUACGUG